ensembl:lncRNA
CAACUGCCCCUAGACCCCUAUAAAACCUUUGUGCUUUUGAAACUCCCUCUCUCUCUCCGGUAUCUCACCGCUGCCUCAGUGCAGGUAGGGGAUUGAGCUCGAGCUAGCUCGAAUAAAGGCUUUUUGCUUUUGCAUCGGACUCAGCUCCCUGGCGGUCUUUGGGGAUCACGAAUUCUGGGCUGUAUAACAGUUGGAGAUGAAAAACAGGUUUGUUAGUUAGGCCUAAGAGUUUCAAAAUUCCUGGACUCUCUCUUUCUUCUCUAUUCUGUUUUCAAAUCAACCAGUUAUCUUCUGAUCUCUUUCUGUUAGUAUUUUAUCAUGUACAAAUUAUAACCACCGGCUCACAUGAUCUACAUUCUGCCUCAAAACCACCUUUACCCUCUUCACAAAUUCGUCAGGUUUUCUUCUUGUUGUUUUUGUUUUUGUCUUUCCAAUUUUGACAGGUGACAAUGUUGCCAAGUGUUUUGCCACCACGUAAUAUGGCUCACCAACACGUAACCUCUGUUAUUGUCUCCUUACUAUGUGUUGAUUGAACUUAAAGCCACUGCCCUUUGUCUUAGGUGAUACUCCACUCCUAGUACCGAUUUCCAUACUAGGCACUUUUUUACUAUAACACUUCUGCCCAACAGAAACUCCAACAUCUCAGUGUAUAAAAUAAUAAACAUUUAAUUUCACACUUAGGUAUUUAGGUAAUCUGCAGUUCAUCUGAUAUCAGCUAGACUUAACCAACCUAACUGGAUGGAUGAGUCAAUUCUCCUUCAUUUCUGGUAUCAUCUAAGAAAGUCACCAAACCUUACCACCAGUCCUGACGACCUUCAAGCCAGGUCCCAGCUGGAACAGCAGAUUAUCGAAUGAGACUUUGCACAGAACUGGAUUUCUUCCCUGAAUGUGACCUGUCAUGAAAAGGACUGGAAAAGUUCUCGGACCCGCCCAAAUUUGUAUUCGGUGGCAGGAAGGAACCAGUCGAGAGCAUCAGUUUGCAGAAGCAGAGAUCAUCAAAAGAAAUAAAUUCUGCAAGGAAGGAAGGUGGGAAAAGAGGUAUUUUUGAACACCACCAACCAUCAGUAAGUCAUUUGGCAGACCGUGCAAUGUGGUGAAAACCAGAAUACCCAAGUGCCGUUCCCAGCGUUGUCCGGAACCAGCCAUGUGGCUUUAGUCACUUCGCUCUGCAGCCUGAGUUACCAGAAAAACUACAAGGUCCUUUCUGCCCUUAAAAAAAAAAAAUCUAGGGGCGCCUGGGUGGCGCAGUCGGUUAAGCGUCCGACUUCAGUCCAGGUCAUGAUCUCACGGUUCGUGGGUUCAGCCCCGCGUCUGGCUCUGCUCUGACAGCUUGGACCCUGGAGGCUGCUUCGGAUUCUGUGUCUCCCUCUCUCUCUGCCCCUCCCCCGUUCAUGCUCUGUCUCUCUCUGUCCCAAAAAUAAAUAAACGUUGAAAAAAAAAAUUUUAAAAAAA